CCCCCCCACAAAAAAGAAAACAUCAAGGAAAAUGGCCAAAAUGUGCUCUCUGGAUGGGCCUGUGGAGGUGUCAUUGGGGGUGUCAGGUGAAAACUGGACAGUGAUAGUUCUGUCUAGGGCACAGUGAGAUCGGGUGUCAGCCGAGCGCUCCUCUUCCUGCUGAGGUAUGUGAGAGAGAGCUCAGGUCGAGCGCUGCAUUGUUUUUUCAUCUCCACAACACCCGUCAUCCUUGACACCAAGGUCUUAGGUCUGCCUCCCGUCAUCAGAGGCGACAUUGACAGAUGGGUAAUUUUCCUUGACGUAGAUAUUAUUGUAUAGAUGUGUACUUCUUCUGUACUGAUGCUUUGAGGUUGUCAGAUGGAGACAGAAUUGCAUAGAUGAUAGUGUGGUCCGGUUGUGGAAAGGAGGUCGAGUGCUCUGUUGCUGUUUACAGGUGACAACACCUGCUUUGCAAAAACAAUAGUGCUGCAGAUUUGUAGUAGAAUCUGAUGCAGACAGCCCACUUCCUACUGGAACUGGAAGCUUUUCAGCACAUCCGCUCACACUUCGUCUGGCCUGUCCAAGACAUCCCGAUGGCUUUAUAGCAUUGCUUUCGGAUUUCAGACCACAUUUACGGUCACAAAGAACAUAAUGCAAAUCACUUUGGAACAGAGCUUAUCGCUUCCAGACACGGCGAUCCCUGUUAACUGGCUACGACGGGAAAGGGCUUUGUCAUGGCCAUCUUUUGCCGUCUCAUCGCCCCUCCCUCCCCUGAAACACCUACAAAAGAGCGUCACAGCUUUGUGUGAUGAAUAAGGGGCCUCCCACCGUUCCACUAGGCAUUGUUCCCGCUGCGCUUGCUCACCGUGCAUAGUGCUCACUAAGCUGGUGAUGGAUGUCGGAUUACCCUGCUGCUAGUGUCUCACUCACAAAGAGGCACUGCCUCAGAGAACACACACACACAACAAACAUAAACCCACCACCAGCAACUCUGCAUACAAUGACUAAUGGUUCUUGCCUGACCCUCACUUUUAAGAUGGAUCUGUAUCCAUAUGGUAAAAUAGUGUGGUCAAUUAGAAUUUUAUUCUCGUGGUUACAGAUGAAUUUUAGUGUGUAAAAGCUACUAUUGCAUGACAAUAAAAUUAGAAAG